rnacentral:rRNA from 1 species
CACGUAGGCGGAUCAGAAAGUUGGGGGUGAAAUCCCAGGGCUCAACCCUGGAACGGCCUCCAAAACUCCUGGUCUUGAGUUCGAGAGAGGUGAGUGGAAUUCCGAGUGUAGAGGUGAAAUUCGUAGAUAUUCGGAGGAACACCAGUGGCGAAGGCGGCUCACUGGCUCGAUACUGACGCUGAGGUGCGAAAGUGUGGGGAGCAAACA